GGGGUACGGACGGUAAGGCGUACGGACGGUAAGGGGUACGGACGGUAAGGCGUACGGACGGUAAGGCGUACGGACAGUAAGGGGUACGGACAGUACGGACAGUAAGGGGUACGGACAGUAAGGGGUACGGACAGUACGGACAGUAAGGUGUACGGACAGUAAGGUGUACGGACAGUACGGACAGUAAGGUGUACGGACAGUACGGACAGUAAGGGGUACGGACGGUAAGGGGUACGGACGGUAAGGGGUACCGACAGUAAGGGGUACGGACAGUAAGGGGUACGGACAGUACGGACAGUAAGGUGUACGGACAGUACGGUCAGUAAGGCGUACGGACAGUAAGGCGUACGGACAGUAAGGCGUACGGACAGUACGGACGGUAAGGGGUACGGACAGUACGGACAGUAAGGUGUACGGACAGUACGGACAGUAAGGGGUACGGACGGUAAGGGGUACCGACAGUAAGGGGUACGGACAGUAAGGGGUACGGACGGUAAGGCGUACGGACAGUAAGGGGUACGGACAGUACGGACAGUAAGGGGUACGGACGGUAAGGGGUACCGACAGUAAGGGGUACGGACAGUAAGGGGUACGGACAGUACGGUCAGUAAGGUGUACGGACAGUACGGUCAGUAAGGCGUACGGACAGUACGG